GUGUAAAUUCUCUUACUAGCAUACUUGUUCAUUUCAUACCAUCUGUCAUUUCUCUUUAUAUUGACUGCUCAGAAUUUUCUCCUGGGAUUAAAGAUUGAUGAUGGUGAUUUGGAAAACAGUAAGGAAUAUAGAGAUCAUCCUGGCAUCUUUUGACAUCUCCGGAGAUGGACAGAUCACCAAGGACAAACCUCAGAAUAAAAUCAAUUCGCAGCAGUUGCGACACUUAAUUAUCAGUCUUUCAUUCUCAUAAUUGGGCCAUACGCCUUGCUACAAACUACAGAGUUGCAGUUCAAUCCAUUUGCUCCUCUCAAGAGUCGUAGAAAUCUACUUCUUUAACGCCUUAUGGGAUCUAUGCCGGUGUUUUCAUGAGCAAGAUACCAUAGAGCGCAUGCUAUCGUACUUAGUUUCUGUUCGAAGCGGAGGGGUUUCCACAAGUUCUGGUGGCGGUUGCAUGACAUUCUUACAAGCUUCCGGGCAAUGUUGUAUCGUUGGAUGGGUUUUUGUGACUUUGUCGUUGCUAUGGUCGCAGUAGAUAUCCCUGGUGUUGCUCUAUCUUGUAACUUGAGUCUUCGUGGUGUGUUUAUUAUUAUGAGGUGAAUGGCAUUGCAUCAUGAGUGGCCUUUGUAAGUGUAUGUAUGUAUCUGUGUGCAUGAUGCAUGUAUAUGCUUGCUUCUUGUUCCAUGGAGAGAUUAGAUUGUACAGAUCAGGUAAGUAGGUAGGUUCCUGGCGUGGUUUGAGAACGCCGGGGGCAUCCAGACCCGGACCUCAGACCCCGACCCUUUCGGCUGCCCUGGCAUGGUUUGAGAUCGACGGGGGCUCCCAGACCCGUAUUCGUAUCCGGACCCGGAUCCGGACCCAGAUUCGUAUCCGGACCCAGACCCUGACCCUUUUGGCUGCCUUUGGUCUGGGCCGGCCUUGUAUGGGCUGUGGCAAUGAUCUGGCCCAAUGUACUGAAUGGCCAUAUCUUUAUCUGUACGAAUUUGUUAUACGAUGUUUCGCUUUUGGGCUGGCCCAAUAUUUGUAGGCGCCUUUAAAAUGGGCCUAGGAACCCCUGAUUGUAUGGGCCAGAAUUAUCACUCAAACAUGCAAGCUUGAAUGGCUUUAUCAUUGGGCCGGAUUAACAAGGCCGUGCUUCAAUGAGCCCAAAUAUGGUAACACUUACGGGCUUUUGGUUUUGAACGGGGACCAAUUUCCUUAGACAUGCCUCGUCUGGCCCAUUUAUUAAAGGCCCCUAUAACAGGUGUUGUAGAACCCAAUUUAUGCUCCACGUCAGCAUGUGUCUGGCUCGGCCCAAUCAUGAAGGGCCCACAUCCGUAUGUGUCUUGUUCUAGCCCAACAUUUAAGGUCAAGUUGCUAUGCGGGUAACAAGCAGUGGGCCCAAAAGUUGUGAUAGGCAGCCCAAUAUGUACGGGCUUGGGCUAGCCUACCAUUAUGAGAUGGCCCGUUAAAUGAUGGCUGAUCUACGGCCCUAUAUGAAAGGUGUUGUAGGGCCCAAUUUCUGGUCCACGUUAGCAUGUGUCAGGUUCGGCUCAAAAUCAUCGAAGGUCCACAUCGGAAUGUGUCAGGGUCUGGCCCAUUUAUUAUAGGCCCGUUUGACAGGUUGUAAGGCCAAAUUUAUGGUUCACGUCAGCAUGUGUCAAGUUCGCCCAUUCAUCGAGGCCCACAUCGGUAUGUGUCUGGGUCCGGCCCAUUUAUCAUAGGCCCGUUUGACAUAUGCUGUAGGGCCCAAAUUAUAGUCCACGUCAGAAUGUGUCAAGUUCGGCCCAUUCAUCGAGGCCCAUAUCGUUGUGUGUCCGGGUCCGGCCCAAUUAUCAUAGGCCCGUUUGACAGGCUCUGUAGGGCCCAAUUUAUGGUCCACGUCAGCAUGUGUCAAGUUCGGCCCAUUAUCCAGGCCCACAUCGUUAUGUGUCUGGAUCCGGCCCAAUUAUCAUAGGCCCGUUUGACAGAAUAUUGUAGGGCACAAUUUAUGGUCCACGUCAGCAUGUGUCUGGUUUGGCCCAAAAUCAUCGAAGGCCCACAUCGGUAUGUAUCUUGGUCCGGCCCAUUUAUGAUAGGCCCGUUUGACAGGUGUUAUAAGCCCAAUUGAUGGUCCACGUCAGCAUGUGUCUGGUUGGCCCGAAAUCAUCGUAGGCCCACAUCGGUAUGUGACUUGGUCCGGCCCAUUUAUGAUAGGCCCGUUUGACAGGUGUUGUAGGGCCCAAUUGAUGGUCCACGUCAGCAUGUGUCUGGUUGGCCCAAAAUCAUCGUAGGCCCACAUUGGUAUGUGACUUGGUCCGGCCCAUUUAUUAUACGGCCGUUUGACAUGUGUUGUAGGGCCCAAUUGAUGGUCCACGUCAGUAUGUGCCAAGUUCGGCCCAAUCAUCGAGGCCCACAUCGGUAUGUGUCACGGUCCGGCCCAUUGAUCGUAGGCCCGUUUGACAGGUGUUUUAGGGCGCAAUUUAUGGUCCACGUCCACAUGUGUCAAGUUCGGCCCAUUCAUCGCGGCCCACAUUGGUAUGUGUCAGGGUCUGGUCCAUUUAUCAUAGGCCCGUUUUACAGGUGUUGUAGGGCCCAAUUUCUGGUCUGGUUCGGCCCAAAAUCAUCGAAGGCCUCCAUCGAUAUGUGUCAUGGUCCGGCCCAUUUAUCAUUGGCCCGUUUGACAGGAUGCAGGGCCGAAUGAACGUUCCACGUCAGUAUGUGCAAGUUCGGCCCAUUCAUCGAGGCCCGCAUCGGUGUGUGUCUUGGUCCGUCGUAUUCAUCGCGGCCACAUGAGUAUGAUAUUGAGCCGAGCCCAACCAGUGACCAUUUGCUACUAGGGCCGCUAAAUGGGCCUUAGGUCUGACAGGCAUAAUCUUUAUGGGUCCAGAGGGAAUAUUUGCUUGGCUAAUUUGGUUAGCUAAUCAGUCACGGUGGUUACGAAUGUGGGCAGUUAACUUCAGCCCAAUACAAUUCUAGGCUUGCAACUGUUUGGCAAUUGAAAAAGUGAGCUGGAUAAGUUCGGCCCAUAGUAGUCCUUAUAUGAGCCCCAGCUUCCAGCCCAGUUUACUAUUGAAGAAUUUAGCCUUCAACGGUAAAUCAGGCGAGUCCAUUUCAGU